rnacentral:lncRNA from 1 species
UCUAAUUUAGUUGAUCACAUUAUAUUUCAAUCUUUCAAAUCCAUCACAUAGAUUAUCCAGACCAAAAUUUUACUGAAUUGAAAUACACUAAUGCAUAUCUCCUAUUAAUUCAGAGGAAUUAAUUCCAUCUUGACUCACACAUCAAUUUGAUAAGUACUUGACUACACCCAGUAUCUUUUCAUCACUGAAUUAGAAACUCAAAUGAUCUGGUAUUAAAGUACAGUGAGUUGCUUACAAGUUACCGUGGUGAUCUCA